AGAGUUUGAUCCUGGCUCAGGACGAACGCUGGCGGCGUGCUUAACACAUGCAAGUCGAACGGGGCGCUUCGGUGCCUAGUGGCGAACGGGUGAGUAACACGUGAGCAACCUGCCUCUGGCUCUGGGAUAGCCUCCGGAAACGGGGAUUAAUACCGGAUAUGAUCUUGGCCUGCAUGGGCUGGGGUGGAAAGUUUUUCGGC
rnacentral:rRNA from 1 species